GAUGAACGCUGGCGGCGUGCCUAAUACAUGCAAGUCGAGCGAACAGACGAGGAGCUUGCUCCUCUGACGUUAGCGGCGGACGGGUGAGUAACACGUGGAUAACCUACCUAUAAGACUGGGAUAACUUCGGGAAACAAGAGACAAUACCGGAUAAUAUAUUGAACCGCAUGGUUCAAUAGUGAAAGACGGUUUGGCUGUCACUUAUAGAUGGAUCCGCGCCGCAUUAGCUAGUUGGUAAGGUAACGGCCUACCAAGGCAACGAUGCGUAGCCGACCUGAGAGGGUGAUCGGCCACACUGGAACUGAGACACGGUCCAGACUCCUACGGGAGGCAGCAGUAGGGAAUCUUCCGCAAUGGGCGAAAGCCUGACGGAGCAACGCCGCGUGAGUGAUGAAGGUCUUCGGAUCGUAAAACUCUGUUAUUAGGGAAGAACAAAUGUGUAAGUAACUAUGCACGUCUUGACGGUACCUAAUCAGAAAGCCCCGGCUAACUACGUG
rnacentral:rRNA from 1 species